rnacentral:rRNA from 1 species
GACGAACGCUGGCGGCGUGCUUAACACAUGCAAGUCGAACGGAAAGGCCCUGCUUUUGUGGGGUGCUCGAGUGGCGAACGGGUGAGUAACACGUGAGUAACCUGCCCUUGACUUUGGGAUAACUUCAGGAAACUGGGGCUAAUACCGGAUAGGAGCUCCUGCUGCAUGGUGGGGGUUGGAAAGUUUCGGCGGUUGGGGAUGGACUCGCGGCGUAUCAGCUUGUUGGUGGGGUAGUGGCUUACCAAGGCUUUGACGGGUAGCCGGCCUGGGAGGAUGACCGGCCACAUUGGGACUGAAAUGCGGCCCAGACUCCUACGGGAGGCAGCAGUGGGGAAUAUUGCACAAUGGGCGGAAGCCUAAUGCAGCAACGCCGCGUGCGGGAUGACGGCCUUCGGGUUGUAAACCGCUUUCGCCUGUGACGAAGCGUGAGUGACGGUAAUGGGUAAAGAAGCACCGGCUAACUACGUG